rnacentral:lncRNA from 1 species
UAUGUGCAUAGCUAACAUUUGUGUAUAUUUUAAUUAAGGUUGUAUGUCUUACCUACUAAGAGCCUCAUACCCCAAGAGAAAUCAAUGAGUCCCCUGCAGUGGUGUAGACACUUUUUGGAUCAUCCAACUCCUGAGAUAGAAGCCGCAAAACGUUCCCUGUGCUUUAGACUGGAACAAGGUUAUACUUCCAGAAGUUCCCCUCUCAGCCCUCAGUCAUCAAUAGACAGUGAACUGAGCACUUCGGAACUUGAGGAUGAUUCUAUCUCCAUGGGAUACAAACUACAGGACCUCACUGAUGUUCAGAUCAUGGCUCGACUGCAGGAAGAAAGUCUCAGACAAGAUUAUGCUUCUACUUCAGCCUCUGUGUCAAGACACAGUUCAAGUCUAUCUCUACAUUCAGGAAAGAAAGGGACAUGCAGUGAUCAGGAAUAUGAUCGCUACAGUCUUGAGGAUGAAGAAGAGUUUGACCACCUGCCCCCUCCACAGCCUCGACUUACUCGUUGUUCACCAUUCCAAAGAGGAAUUCCACACUCACAGACUUUUUCCAGUAUUCGGGAGUGCAGAAGAAGCCCCACUUCACAGCAUUUCCCUUCAAAUAAUUAUCAGCAGCAGUACUAUUCUCCUCAAGCCCAAACGCCAGAGCAGCAACCAAAUAGGAUGAAUGGAGAUAAACUCCGAAGAAGCAUGCCUAACCUAGCUCGGAUGCCAAGUACUCCUACCAUUAAUAGCAAUGCAAGUUCUCCAGUCACUGUGAGGAAUAGUCAGAGCUUUGAUUCCAAUCUACAUGGAGCUGGUAAUGGGAUUUCAAGAAUGCAGUCUUGUAUUCCAUCUCCAGGACAACUGCAGCAUAGAGUUCAUAGUGUGGGACAUUUUCCAGUGUCUGUCAGACAGCCUCUGAAAGCUACAGCAUAUGUAAGCCCAACUGUGCAAGGCAGCAGUAAUAUUCCUGUGUCCAGUAGCUUGCAGUUGCAUUCUAACACUGGAAUCCCAAUGCCAAACAAGACUGCCAAUGCAGGGAUUGUUGGACGCAGUGCUCUUCCAAGACCGUCAUUGGCCGUAAGUGGUAGUAGCAUACCCAGGAGUAAAAUUGCACAGCCCGUUCGAAGUUUUCUUCAGCCUCCAAAGCCACUUUCUUCACUUAGUACUCUACGAGACGGGAGUUGGAGAGAUGGCUGCUACUGAUGUUGAAUACCCCUGAACAACAGAAAAUAAAUGAUGCAGAUUUGAUUUACCCA